rnacentral:rRNA from 1 species
GACAGAGGGUGCAAACGUUGUUCGGAAUUACUGGGCGUAAAGCGCGUGUAGGCUGCUUCGCAAGUCGGAUGUGAAAGCCCCGGGCUCAACCUGGGAAUUGCAUUUGAGACUGCGUAGCUAGGGUGCGGAAGAGGGAAGCGGAAUUUCCGGGUGUAGCGGUGAAAUGACGUAGAUAUCGGAAGGAACACCAGUGGCGAAAGCGGCUUCCUGGUCCAGCACCGACGUCAGGCACGAAAGCGUGGGGAGCAAACAGG